ACGGGAGGCAGCAGUGAGGAAUAUUGGUCAAUGGGCGGAAGCCUGAGCCAGCCAAGUCGCGUGAAGGAUGAAGGUAUUAUGUAUUGUAAACUUCUUUAGCUGUGGAGCAAUAAUCUCCAUGUAUGGAGAGAUGAGAGUACACAGAGAAUAAGGAUCGGCUAACUCCGUGCCAGCAGCCGCGGUAAUACGGAGGAUCCGAGCGUUAUCCGGAUUUAUUGGGUUUAAAGGGUGCGCAGGCGGCUUUCUAAGUCAGUGGUCAAAUCGUGGUGCUCAACGCCAUCCCGCCAUUGAUACUGGAGAGCUUGAUUGCGGUCGAGGUUUGCGGAAUUCGUCGUGUAGCGGUGAAAUGCAUAGAUAUGACGAAGAACACCGAUUGCGUAGGCAGCAGACCAGGCCGUAAAUGACGCUCAUGCACGAAAGUGCGGGGAUCGAACAGGAUUAGAUACCCUGGUA
rnacentral:rRNA from 1 species